CUCAUAUGUUGUUUCGCUUUACCUAUUCCGGCGUUGAUCGUUUCGCCAGCGACAUACGAAGCUACUAGACGCUUCUAGAAGUCUACUGCGCAUUGUCGUACAACUGUAGACGUUAUAUCGGAAUUAUGAAAAUACGAUUUGUCUCACUAUGCCGACAUGGAUGAAUCUAUCGGUUUAACCGGUAAUCCGCAAAUACCGUGUUUGCUGUGUAAGCGUGUAAAGUGGAUCGUGAAAUAUCUAACGGCAUCGGAUUUAUUACAGAGUUAAGGUGUGCUCACAAACCAGAGCGGUUAGUUGCACCGAAAAUUUGUCGUUUUUCACUAAUUUUAAAUAAAAGAGACGAACACGUGGCUCAUAGUAACGCCAAUUAAUUUGUUCGCUGCGGUAUGUUAUUGCUGCAAGACUUGCAGCGAAAUAAUUUUCGUUCGAUGCCGUGCACUGUUGUAUUUCAUUUACCUACCUCGGUAAAAUGAAUUUCCAAACGGGUCUGCCAAUACCGGAUAGGACUUUUGAUCGAACAAAUUAUAUGUGUGUUUAUGCGCGGAUUACUGUUGAAUUCAAAAUACGAAUUUACGUCUGUAGUCCGAAAAUAUUAAUUCUAUUAUAAUUCUAUUGAAUGCACUAAUCAUAAUGAAUAUUCACCGGUGGUCAGUAGGUACCUGUGUCUAAACGUGUAUUUAUAUAAUACGGACAUGAUGGAAACAUAUAUCACGGGCAAUUCAAAUUGCAUAUAAACGAAUGACUGCGGUAUUAGCAGCCAUUUCGGAUCGAUUAUAUCGUACGAUGUGGUGAUUAAUAAAUUAAACGGAUAUUUAAUUAUUGAAAGAAGGUUACAUUAACAUUGUAGCCUAGAAUUGUUUUGUACUAAAAUUGAGCUCAAAACGGGUGGCAUAUUAUACAUCCAACAUUAAAGGGAAGGAAAACUCAUAGACGUUACCGUUGUCCAUUAGCAGAGUUUCUGCUAUACAUAUAAUUUUCUUAGAACGAGGUCUCUGUGAAUGUUUUGUGAACGGUUUGUUCAACUAUGUGGUUCAAAUGUGUACAGCGUGUACCAUCUCUGAUAUUUUAUCGGUUAGUAAACUUUUUUCCUUUUUUACAAUGUGGCAUUCAUUUACGACGUAACAAUGAUUUAAAAAUUAAAAUUGUUUACAGUAUUUCAUGCACUCUUAGCCCUCU